GGUGAACGCUGGCGGCGUGCUUAAGACAUGCCAGUCGAACGGGCUCUUCGGAGCCAGUGGCGCACGGGUGAGUAACGCGUAACUGACCUACCCCAAAGUCGCGGAUAACGAUUCGAAAGAAUCGCUAAUACGUGAUGUGCUGUCAGAUCCUGUUCUGCCAGUAAAGAUUUAUUGCUUUGGGAUGGGGUUGCGUUCCAUCAGCUAGUUGGUGGGGUAAAGGCCCACUAAGGCGACGACGGAUCGCCGGCCUGAGAGGGUGGCCGGCCACAGGGGCACUGAGACACGGGUCCCACUCCUACGGGAGGCAGCAGUUAGGAAUCUUCCACAAUGGGCGAAAGCCUGAUGGAGCGACGCCGCGUGAGGGAUGAAGGUCUUCGGAUCGUAAACCUCUGAAUCAGGGACGAAAGACGCGAAAGCGGGAUGACGGUACCUGAGUAAUAGCACCGGCUAACUCCGUG
rnacentral:rRNA from 1 species